rnacentral:rRNA from 1 species
ACGUAGGGGGCGAGCGUUGUCCGGAAUUACUGGGCGUAAAGGGUGCGUAGGUGGCGUUUUAAGUUGGAUGUGAAAUCCCCGGGCUUAACUUGGGGGGUGCAUCUAAUACUGGAAGGCUAGAGUGCAGGAGAGGGGAGUGGAAUUCCUAGUGUAGCAGUGAAAUGCGUAGAUAUUAGGAGGAACACCAGUGGCGAAGGCGGCUUUCUGGACUAUAACUGACACUGAGGCACGAAAGCGUGGGGAGCAAACAG